GAUGAACGCUGGCGGCGUGCCUAAUACAUGCAAGUCGAGCGAACAGACGAGGAGCUUGCUCCUCUGACGUUAGCGGCGGACGGGUGAGUAACACGUGGAUAACCUACCUAUAAGACUGGGAUAACUUCGGGAAACCGGAGCUAAUACCGGAUAAUAUAUUGAACCGCAUGGUUCAAUAGUGAAAGACGGUUUUGCUGUCACUUAUAGAUGGAUCCGCGCCGCAUUAGCUAGUUGGUAAGGUAACGGCUUACCAAGGCAACGAUGCGUAGCCGACCUGAGAGGGUGAUCGGCCAAGCGGGAACGGAGACACGGUCAAGACUCCAACGGGAGGCAGCAGUAGGAAAUCUGCCGCAAUGGGCGAAGGCCUGACGGAGCAACGCCGCGUGAGUGAUGAAGUUCUUCGGAUCGUAAAACUCUGUUAUUAGGGAAGAACAAAUGUGUAAGUAACUAUGCACGUCUUGACGGUACCUAAUCAGAAAGCCACGGCUAACUAC
rnacentral:rRNA from 1 species